rnacentral:tRNA from 1 species
GCGGACGUGGCGGAAUUGGUAGACGCGCUAGAUUUAGGUUCUAGUGAGCUUGCUUGUGAGAGUUCGAGUCUCUCCGUCCGCA